rnacentral:rRNA from 1 species
GACGAACGCUGGCGGCGUGCUUAACACAUGCAAGUCGAGCGAUGAAGCUCCUUCGGGAGCGGAUUAGCGGCGGACGGGUGAGUAACACGUGGGUAACCUGCCUCAUAGAGGGGAAUAGCCUUUCGAAAGGAAGAUUAAUAUCGCAUAAGAUUGUAGUGCCGCAUGGCAUAGCAAUUAAAGGAGUAAUCCGCUAUGAGAUGGACCCGCGUCGCAUUAGCUAGUUGGUGAGGUAACGGCUCACCAAGGCGACGAUGCGUAGCCGACCUGAGAGGGUGAUCGGCCACAUUGGGACUGAGAAACGGCCCAGACUCCUACGGGAGGCAGCAGUGGGGAAUAUUGCACAAUGGGGGAAACCCUGAUGCAGCAACGCCGCGUGAGUGAUGACGGUCUUCGGAUUGUAAAGCUCUGUCUUCAGGGACGAUAAUGACGGUAUCUGAGGAGGAAGCCACGGCUAACUACGUGCCAGCAGCCGCCGCCG